AACAGGAUUAGAUACCCUGGUAGUCCACGCCGUAAACGAUGUCGACUAGCCGUUGGGAGCCUCGAGUUCUUAGUGGCGCAGUUAACGCGAUAAGUCGACCGCCUGGGGAGUACGGCCGCAAGGUUAAAACUCAAAUGAAUUGACGGGGGCCCGCACAAGCGGUGGAGCAUGUGGUUUAAUUCGAUGCAACGCGAAGAACCUUACCUACCCUUGACAUCCUGCGAACCCGGAAGAGAUUCCGGGGUGCCUUCGGGAGCGCAGAGACAGGUGCUGCAUGGCUGUCGUCAGCUCGUGUUGUGAAAUGUUGGGUUAAGUCCCGUAACGAGCGCAACCCCUGUCCCUAUUUGCCAGCGAUUCGGUCGGGAACUCUAGGGAGACUGCCGGUGACAAACCGGAGGAAGGUGGGGACGACGUCAAGUCAUCAUGGCCCUUACGGGUAGGGCUACACACGUGCUACAAUGGCAGGUACAAAGGGUUGCGAGACGGCGACGUGGAGCGAAUCCCAUAAAGCCUGCCUCAGUUCGGAUCGGAGUCUGCAACUCGACUCCGUGAAGUCGGAAUCGCUAGUAAUCGUGAAUCAGAAUGUCACGGUGAAUACGUUCCCGGGCCUUGUACACACCGCCCGUCACACCAUGGGAGUGGACUGCACCAGAAGUGGUUAGCUUAACCUUCGGGAGAGCGAUCACCACGGUGUGGUUCAUGACUGGGGUGAAGUCGUAACAAGGUAACC
rnacentral:rRNA from 1 species